UACAGAGGGUGCGAGCGUUGUUCGGAAUUAUUGGGCGUAAAGCGCGUGUAGGCGGCUUUGCAAGUCGGGUGUGAAAGCCCUCAGCUCAACUGAGGAAGUGCGCCCGAAACUGCAGAGCUUGAGUGCCGGAGAGGGUGGCGGAAUUCCCCAAGUAGAGGUGAAAUUCGUAGAUAUGGGGAGGAACACCGGUGGCGAAGGCGGCCACCUGGACGGUAACUGACGCUGAGACGCGAAAGCGUGGGGAGCGAACAGG
rnacentral:rRNA from 1 species